GUCUGAGAGUCGGGCGUGAAACGGGGUUCCAGAGGUUGAUCCCCGCCCCUGCGGCCGCUAGCCCCGCGCUGCAGUUUCGAUGGGAAGAGAAUAGAGGCGUGAAGAAGGCGGGUUCUUCUGAUUGGCGACAAUUAGAUGAGAUGCAUGCAAAGUGCUCAACAUAGUGCCUAGAGCAUAAUGUUCUUCCCAGUCAGCAGUUACCAGUGUGACAAAGGAACAGCUGUCUGACCUCAAAGAAAGAUUUACAUGAGAUUCUGAGAGCAACGGGAAACUCCAGCAAGGGGCCACCUGCCUUGUGAAAAUGUCUCUCCUGACGUCUCUUAGAUGGGAAGCCUGGGCCAUCCAGGCCUUCUGUGUCCCUCCUCAUGGCAGGCACAUUCAAGCUGAACCUGAAAGUGGGCAAAAUCAGUAGAAGAACAGAGCUGACAGGAGCUGAUUCCUCAAUAAAAGGAUUAC